UACAGAGGGGGCAAGCGUUAUUCGGAAUUAUUGGGCGUAAAGAGCGUGUAGGCGGUCCGGUAAGUCAGCUGUGAAAGUCAAGGGCUCAACCCUUGAAAGCCGGUUGAUACUGUCGGGCUAGAGUCCGGAAGAGGCGAGUGGAAUUCCCGGUGUAGCGGUGAAAUGCGCAGAUAUCGGGAGGAACACCAAUGGCGAAGGCAGCUCGCUGGGACGGUACUGACGCUGAGACGCGAAAGCGUGGGGAGCAAACAGG
rnacentral:rRNA from 1 species